GGAGAGGUGCCGGAGUGGUCGAACGGGGCGGUCUCGAAAACCGUUGUGCCCUUUGGGGUACCGAGGGUUCGAAUCCCUCCCUCUCCG
rnacentral:tRNA from 1 species